GUGGGGAAUCUUGCGCAAUGGGCGAAAGCCUGACGCAGCCAUGCCGCGUGAAUGAUGAAGGUCUUAGGAUUGUAAAAUUCUUUCACCGGGGACGAUAAUGACGGUACCCGGAGAAGAAGCCCCGGCUAACUUCGUGCCAGCAGCCGUGGUAAUACGAAGGGGGCUAGCGUUGCUCGGAAUUACUGGGCGUAAAGGGCGCGUAGGCGGACAGUUUAGUCAGAGGUGAAAGCCCAGGGCUCAACCUUGGAAUUGCCUUUGAUACUGGCUGUCUUGAGUACGGGAGAGGUGAGUGGAACUCCGAGUGUAGAGGUGAAAUUCGUAGAUAUUCGGAAGAACACCAGUGGCGAAGGCGACUCACUGGCCCGUUACUGACGCUGAGGCGCGAAAGCGUGGGGAGCAAACAGGAUUAGAUACCCUUGUAGUCC
rnacentral:rRNA from 1 species